rnacentral:rRNA from 1 species
CACGUAGGGCGCAAGCGUUGUCCGGAAUUAUUGGGCGUAAAGAGCUCGUAGGUGGUUUGUUACGUCCGCUGUGAAAUCCUAGGGCUUAACCCUGGGCUUGCAGUGGAUACGGGCAGACUAGAGGUAGGUAGGGGAGAAUGGAAUUCCUGGUGUAGCGGUGAAAUGCGCAGAUAUCAGGAGGAACACCGGUGGCGAAGGCGGUGCUCUGGGCCUUACCUGACACUGAGGAGCGAAAGCGUGGGGAGCGAACAGG